GGCCUGAGAGGGUGAUCCCCCACACUGGUAGUGAGACACGGACCAGACUCCUACGGGAGGCAGCAGUGAGGAAUAUUGGACAAUGGGUGCGAGCCUGAUCCAGCCAUCCCGCGUGAAGGACGACGGCCCUAUGGGUUGUAAACUUCUUUUGUAUAGGGAUAAACCUACCCUCGUGAGGGUAGCUGAAGGUACUAUACGAAUAAGCACCGGCUAACUCCGUGCCAGCAGCCGCGGUAAUACGGAGGGUGCAAGCGUUAUCCGGAUUUAUUGGGUUUAAAAAGUCCGUAGGCUGAUGUGUAAGUCAGUGGUGAAAUCUCACAGCUUAACUGUGAAACUGCCAUUGAUACUGCAUGU
rnacentral:rRNA from 1 species